rnacentral:rRNA from 1 species
GAUGAACGCUAGCGACAGGCUUAACACAUGCAAGUCGAGGGGCAGCACGAUGUAGCAAUACAUUGGUGGCGACCGGCGCACGGGUGAGUAACGCGUAUGCAACCUACCUAUCAGAGGGGAAUAACCCGGCGAAAGUCGGACUAAUACCGCAUAAAACAGGGGUUCCACAUGGAAAUAUUUGUUAAAGAAUUAUCGCUGAUAGAUGGGCAUGCGUUCCAUUAGAUAGUUGGUGAGGUAACGGCUCACCAAGUCCACGAUGGAUAGGGGUUCUGAGAGGAAGGUCCCCCACAUUGGAACUGAGACACGGUCCAA